rnacentral:lncRNA from 1 species
AAUAUCAUUCAUUUUUUUUUUUUAAGGGAGAAGAUGCAAGGUCAUCCACAUAUCCUUUCUCUCUCUCAUUUGCAUUCAGAUAUACUUUCUUGCGUGGUUGCAAAAGGGGCGAUGUUCGAGCUGAUUUAGGAAAUUGCAAAUGAGUGCCACACAUACAGAUGUCAGCUGUCAGCAGGUGCUCCCAGAAGCCUCAUGGAAAACAGAUUAUACUCAGCUCUCUGGGAUCUGAUGAAUCGAUAUAAUAGGAGGGCUUUGAAAAGCAGAAGUGGAACAUCUAGAUUUCAAGAUGGAUCAAGAAAACCGUCGGAGCUUGAGAAGCCACUUUCUCCUUGACCCACACACUGCUUGAUCUCUUGGAAACUGCCAACCCUGGAAAGAAGCAUUUUUGACUUCCCAUCUGGCCUGGAUGAAACACAAAGGGAACUUAAGGCAAGAGAUAUUUUAAUGUCUUUUUCUACUUUCUUUCAGUCUCUGUGAUAGCCACCUAAAUCCACAGGCUGAGGGCUAAUGCAUGUGGAAAGGAAACGAAAUCUUCUCAGCAUGUGUGCUCCUCUGACAUUUUGAUUAGCGCAGAGAAAUUGGAAGGCAGCACAUCCCC